rnacentral:lncRNA from 7 species
GUGCUCUCUGUCUUGCCACUUGAUGCUGUGAAGUGCGCUCAGGCAAGCUCCGAAGUUGAGACAUGGAUGCAGUAACCUAUGAUGAUGUGCAUGUGAAUUUCACUCAAGAAGAAUGGGCUUUGCUGGAUCCUUCACAGAAGAGUCUCUACAAAGAGGUGAUGCUGGAGACCUACAAGAACCUCACUGCUAUAGGCUACAACUGGGAAGAUCAUAAUAUUGAAGAACAUUGUCAAAGUUCCAGAAGACAUGGAAGGUAUAUCUUCUUUUAAUGUUGCAAUGGACACGAGCCAUGUGAACAUAGGGAUAUUGAAAGAAGAAAUGUACUUCUCUUUCUCUCUCUCCAAGAACAAUUAAAAUAUAUGUAGUAGUCCCCAUUUGAGCAGACUUUCUCCGUGUGAUACAAGUUUAUAAUUAGUUGGUUUUCCAACUUCCUUGGGAAUGUAUCCAUAAACUCACACUGU